rnacentral:rRNA from 1 species
CAGUCGCCGCGGUAAUACGUAGGUGGCAAGCGUUGUCCGGAAUUAUUGGGCGUAAAGGGCUCGCAGGCGGUUUCUUAAGUCUGAUGUGAAAGCCCCCGGCUCAACCGGGGAGGGUCACUGGAAACUGGGAAACUUGAGUGCAGAAGAGGAGAGUGGAAUUCCACGUGUAGCGGUGAAAUGCGUAGAGAUGUGGAGGAACACUAGUGGCGAAGGCGACUCUCUGGUCUGUAACUGACGCUGAGGAGCGAAAGCGUGGGGAGCGAACAGGAUUAGAUACCCGGGUAGUCCCUGUCUCUUAUAC